rnacentral:lncRNA from 1 species
AGCAUCUUCCCUUUUUUAAUGACCCUGCAGCCUUUGGAAUAGUUAUUGGGAUGUAACCUUCAUUUGUAAUUUCAAAAGCAACUGGCAUUAAAUAAUCUGCCCUGCCUUCAUCCCUCACUUGAUAGGCUCGCUAUGCCGUGCUUGACUAUUUGGUUACACACAAUGAACCAUCUGGGCCAAAGAAAACAUCUCUUAUGAAAGAAUCUGCGUUUUAUACAAAUAUCCAGAUUGUAGAUGGGUUGUGAUUUUUCUUUGUGUGUUAAGUUAUUGUGAUAUGCAAUGCUCGCUGCAUUGUGUUGUUAACAAAGACCAGUGCAGCAGGCAAUUGCUGUGCACAUGCUGCAAACAGUUGCAGCUCUGAUGGUGCCCUCCAUUUACAGCUUUCAGCUCUGCAAAGAAAUUCCAAGGUACUUGCUGAGAUUAAAGGGAUGAUUAAAAAAUAAGAACAAAAACCAGAUUCAGCAGACUGUUAACAGGGGAUUUAUUUGUAAUUACAGAAGGAGCAAAAUGAGAUCCCAGCCUGCUGUGCUGCAAAGUGGGAGAGUCCAGUUAAGCAGCGGACAUGGACUCUUGCCUGUGGAAGAAGAGCUUUUUAAUUCUACUUUUGGCAUUUUUUUGGGCAUAUAUGCUUUUGUAAAGGAGAUAAUUUUGUAACACAUCUACUAUUUUUCUCACAAGUUUUUGAGAUAAAUGAAGGCAGAAUAAUUUUCCCUCUAACUGCAUUAUUGUCACUUCCUAAAGCCCAAGCCCCUGGGCUGUCCCACAGCACACAGAGGCAGUGCCAGAGGCCUUCACUUGCGAUUAAUAUAUAUAUAAUAGAAUUAUGUAAAAGGAUGUAAUUAUGGCACACAAGUCAAUACUUUUGUCCGUAGUGCUCAGAUUAAGGACAAAUGCUUGUAAUCCUCCCUGAGCCCAGACGCUCAUUCGAAACCUAAAGGCUGCUGCUGGAGAAAAGGCACGUAAGGCCAGGGGAGGAUGGGCUGCGCUAACUAAAACCAACAGGAACCUGGACAACACCACUGAGGCCCACUAUACCCAGAUGUGCUGUGGUAACUAGGACCUGCCUCAUGUCCUGGCGAGGUCUGGAGACCUGCGGGGGACUCCAUCUUGUAUCUCUCCCUGGACUGCCUGGGGGAGCCCCGCGGCGCUAAGCGACCGUCGAG